rnacentral:lncRNA from 1 species
CCCGGGGCCACAGGAAGCACGCUGGGGCUGGGGGCCGGAAAGCGGGCUAGGGUUCGCUGAGUCCACAGGGACGAGUGACAGCGCGUGCUUGCGGAGGCCGGGCAGCCGGGGUACCAGGUGAAAACCGGCUGGGAACAGGCGAGAGGAGGAGGAGACGGGACAAGCAUGCUGUCCUCAGCUGGGCCAGGAGGAACCGGUCCCAGCCCCACAGGACCUUGUCCCCGGUGACUCUCGGGCCCCGUCAGCAGCGGGAGGAGGGCGGGAGUCCAAGGAGGUCGGAGGCGUGAAGACGAGGACGGAGCAGAGCCUGGAAAAGACCAGGAGACACCCAUCCUGGAGACCUCGGAAGGAGCCUGCCCUGGGGACGCCUUGGGUAUUUCCGACCUCCGGCCCUCCCCAGCCCCGCUGUGCACCCCAUGCUGGGGGACAGGAUGAGCUGUAAGAGAAUAAACCUGUGUUAAAACCCCA